GUCUAGGGCCAUACCACCCUGAACACACCCGAUCUCGUCUGAUCUCGGAAGCUAAGCAGGGUCGGUCGGGCCUGGUUAGUACUUGGAUGGGAGAUUUUAAGAAUAUUCAAUUAACAUUCUAAU
rnacentral:rRNA from 1 species